UCAAAGACCAUAGAUGAAACGUCAUCCACAAGAUUUUUUUCGCAACGGUGUCAGGGGUCACAAUCACUGUCAUUUACUCACGUAUGGUGGUCAAUGGAGGAAAACCCCCCCGGGCCCUUUGCAAGCAGAAUGAGUGUCACUUACGAAGCCGGAGAGAGUGAAGCCUUGAUGAGGUGAACAUAUACACUGACCUGGCUACAUUCAGAGAAGAAGAGUCCAGCUCAGUCAGAACAGGAGAGUAUUGUGGCAAGUUGGAACAGCUCCAGACUUAACCUUAACCUUGACCUUGUGAAAGACACAGAGGACAAUGAGACUAUCCUCCAGAACACUUAUGACCCUGACCAGGGCAACCCUUGUUUCACUAAGAACAAGCUCAGUGAGAGGGAGGUAGCAGAGAAGGUCAACAACAACAAUGGGAACCAGUUACUCCAGGAGAA